rnacentral:rRNA from 1 species
CGUGGAGUGAUCUGUCUGGUCUAUUCCGAUAACGAGCGAGACUCUAGUCUACUAAAUAGUACAGGCAUAGCUUCGUGUCUGCGACUUCUUAGAGGGAUCAACGGCGUUUAGCCGAAAGAAAUUGAGCAAUAACAGGUCUGUGAUGCCCUUAGAUGUCCGGGGCUGCACGCGCGCUACACUGGCAAAAUCAGCGUGACUCCUGCUUCGAGAGGAGUGGGCAAACCGAUGAAAAUUUGCCGUGAUUGGGAUCGGAGAUUGCAAUUAUUCUCCGUGAACGAGGAAUUCCAAGUAAGUGCGAGUCAUCAACUCGCGUUGAUUACGUCCCUGCCCUUUGUA